GCAUGAUUUGGUUAUGAAAGCUAUAUGCGCUGUGAGAGAGCUUUGCGUCCCAUUAGUUAGUUGGUGAGGUAACGGCUCACCAAGACGAUGAUGGGUAGCCGGCCUGAGAGGGUGAACGGCCACAAGGGGACUGAGACACGGCCCUUACUCCUACGGGAGGCAGCAGUGGGGAAUAUUGGACAAUGGACCAAAAGUCUGAUCCAGCAAUUCUGUGUGCACGAUGAAGUUUUUCGGAAUGUAAAGUGCUUUCAGUUGGGAAGAAGUCAGUGACGGUACCAACAGAAGAAGCGACGGCUAAAUAC
rnacentral:rRNA from 1 species